rnacentral:tRNA from 1 species
GGUAGGUUGUGCCGAAUUGGCUAAGGCACCAGUCUUGAAAACUGGCGGGUAUUUUAAUACCCUUGCAGGUUCGAGUCCUGCACCUACCGCCA